GAUGAACGCUAGCGGCAGGCUUAACACAUGCAAGUCGAGGGGCAGCAUGAAGGUUAGCAAUAACUUUUGAUGGCGACCGGCGCAAGGGUGCGUAACGCGUGAGCAACUUGCCCGUUUCAGGGGGAUAACCGGUGGAAACGCCGACUAAUACCCCAUAGUAUUGGAUUGAGGCAUCUCUUACCAAUUAAAGAAUUUCGGAAACGGAUAGGCUCGCGUGACAUUAGCUAGAUGGCGGGGUAACGGCCCACCAUGGCGACGAUGUCUAGGGGUUCUGAGAGGAAGGUCCCCCCACACUGGAACUGAGACACGGUCCAGACUCCUACGGGAGGCAGCAGUGAGGAAUAUUGGUCAAUGGUCGGAAGACUGAACCAGCCAAGUAGCGUGAAGGAUGACUGCCCUACGGGUUGUAAACUUCUUUUGUUUGGGUAAUAAAAGACGCUACGUGUAGCGUUCUGCAUGUACCUUACGAAUAAGCAUCGGCUAAUUCCGUGCCAGCAGCCGCGGU
rnacentral:rRNA from 1 species